rnacentral:rRNA from 1 species
GUUAAAAAGCUCGUAGUUGGAUUUUGGUUGAGAACGGCCGGUCCGCCGUUUGGUGUGCACUGGCUGGUUUCAACUUCCUGUAGAGGACGCGCUCUGGCUUCACGGCUGGACGCGGAGUCUACGUGGUUACUUUGAAAAAAUUAGAGUGUUCAAAGCGGGCUUACGCUUGAAUAUUUCAGCAUGGAAUAACACUAUAGGACUCCUGUCCUAUUUCGUUGGUCUCGGGACGGGAGUAAUGAUUAAGAGGAACAGUUGGGGGCAUUCGUAUUUCAUUGUCAGA